GACGAACGCUGGCGGCGUGCUUAACACAUGCAAGUCGAACGAUGAAGCCAGCUUUCUGUUGGGUUAUUGGCUAACGGGUGGGUAACACGUGGGUGAUCUGCCCCAAACUUUGUUAUAAGCCUGGGAAACUGGGUCUAAUACCUAAUGUGACCGAUACUCUCAUGGGUGUUGGUGGAAAGCUCCGGCGGUUGGGGAUGGACCCGCGGCCUAUCAGCUUGUUGGUGGGGUAAUGGCCUACCAAGGCGACGACGGGUAGCCGGCCUGAGAGGGCGACCGGCCACACUGGGACUGAGACACGGCCCAGACUCCUACGGGAGGCAGCAGUGGGGAAUAUUGCACAAUGGGCGGAAGCCUGAUGCAGCGACGCCGCGUGCGGGAUGACGGCCUUCGGGUUGUAAACCUCUUUCACCAGGGACGAAGCGAAAGUGACGGUAACUGGAGAAGAAGCACCGGCCAACUACGUG
rnacentral:rRNA from 1 species